UAUACGGAGAGUUUGAUCCUGGCUCAGGAUGAACGCUAGCGGCGUGCCUAACGCAUGCAAGUCGAACGGUAAGCCCUUCGGGGCCUAGAGUGGCGAACGGGUGAGUAACACGUAGGUGACCUGCCUCAGAGAGGGGAACAACCAUUGGAAACGAUGGCUAAUACCCCAGAUGUCUAGUUGGCUAGAAAGACUAGACUAAAGCUUUUGCGCUCUGAGAGGGGCCUGCGGUCCAUCAGCUAGUUGGUGAGGUAAUGGCUCACCAAGGCGAAGACGGAUAGGGGGCGUGAGAGCGCGACCCCCCACACUGGUACUGACACACGGACCAGAUACCUACGGGUAGCAGCAGCGAGGAAUAUUGCGCAAUGGGGGAAACCCUGACGCAGCAACGCCGCGUGGAGGACGAAGGCCUUCGGGUUGUAAACUCCUUUUCUAAGGGAAGAGAAAGGACGGUACCUUAGGAAUAAGGCCCGGCUAACUACGUGCCAGCAGCCGCGGUAAUACGUAGGGGCCAAGCGUUAUCCGGAUUUAUUGGGCGUAAAGCGCGUGCAGGCGGUUUCGUCAGUCGGAUGUGAAAGCUCUCGGCUCAACUGGGAGAGGCCAUUCGAAACUGCGAAACUAGAGGUUGGUAGAGGUGAGUGGAAUUCCCGGUGUAGCGGUGAAAUGCGUAGAUAUCGGGAGGAACACCAGAGGCGAAAGCGGCUCACUGGGCCACACCUGACGCUCAGACGCGAAAGCUAGGGGAGAGAACGGGAUUAGAAACCCCGGUAUUCCUAGCCGUAAACGAUGUCAACUAGGCGUAGGAGGUCGUAAGACCUUCUGUGCUAAAGCUAACGCGAUAAGUUGACCGCCUGGGGAGUACGGCCGCAAGGCUAAAACUCAAAGGAAUUGGCGGGGACCCGCACAAGCAGCGGAGCGUGUGGUUUAAUUCGAGGCAACGCGAAAAACCUUACCAAGGUUUGACAUGUACAUGGUAGAGAACGGAAACGGGAUCGACCCUUCGGGGGAGUGUACACAGGUGCUGCAUGGCUGUCGUCAGCUCGUGCCGUGAGGUGUUCGGUUAAGUCCGCUAACGAGCGCAACCCUCAUCGUUAGUUACAAGUGUCUAGCGAGACUGCCAGUGAUAAGCUGGAGGAAGGUGGGGAUGACGUCAAGUCAGCAUGGCCUUUAUAUCUUGGGCUACACACACGCUACAAUGGCCAGUACAAUGAGUAGCGAAACCGCGAGGUGAAGCCAAUCUCGUAAAGCUGGUCUCAGUUCGGAUUGUAGGCUGCAACUCGCCUGCAUGAAGUCGGAGUUGCUAGUAACCGCGCGUCAGCAUAGUGCGGUGAAUACGUUCCCGGGUCUUGCACACACCGCCCGUCACGUCAUGGAAGUUGGCAACGCCUAAAGUCGGUGGGCUAACCGCAAGGAAGCAGCCGCCUAAGGCGGGGUCGGUAACUGGGACGAAGUCGUAACAAGGUAGCUGUAGCGGAAGCUGCGGCUGGAUCACCUCCUUU
rnacentral:rRNA from 1 species